rnacentral:rRNA from 1 species
GGUGAGUAACACGUGAGCAACCUGCCCCUGACUCUGGGAUAAGCGCUGGAAACGGCGUCUAAUACUGGAUAUGUGACGUGACCGCAUGGUCUGCGUCUGGAAAGAAUUUCGGUUGGGGAUGGGCUCGCGGCCUAUCAGCUUGUUGGUGAGGUAAUGGCUCACCAAGGCGUCGACGGGUAGCCGGCCUGAGAGGGUGACCGGCCACACUGGGACUGAGACACGGCCCAGACUCCUACGGGAGGCAGCAGUGGGGAAUAUUGCACAAUGGGCGAAAGCCUGAUGCAGCAACGCCGCGUGAGGGAUGACGGCCUUCGGGUUGUAAACCUCUUUUAGCAGGGAAGAAGCGAAAGUGACGGUACCUGCAGAAAAAGCGCCGGCUAACUACGUGCCAGCAGCCGCGGUAAUACGUAGGGCGCAAGCGUUAUCCGGAAUUAUUGGGCGUAAAGAGCUCGUAGGCGGUUUGUCGCGUCUGCUGUGAAAUCCGGAGGCUCAACCUCCGGCCUGCAGUGGGUACGGGCAGACUAGAGUGCGGUAGGGGAGAUUGGAAUUCCUGGUGUAGCGGUGGAAUGCGCAGAUAUCAGGAGGAACACCGAUGGCGAAGGCAGAUCUCUGGGCCGUAACUGACGCUGAGGAGCGAAAGGGUGGGGAGCAAACAGGCUUAGAUACCCUGGUAGUCCACCCCGUAAACGUUGGGAACUAGUUGUGGGGUCCAUUCCACGGAUUCCGUGACG